rfam:Hordeum vulgare subsp. vulgare, WGS project CAJW01000000 data, contig: morex_contig_43813
CUCGUACUUCCUCCGUCCGGAAGUAAUUGUCCUAGAGAUGAAUGUAUCUAGACUUACUUUAGUUACAGAUACAUCUAUUAUAUCCAUUUCUAGGACAAGUAUUUCCGGACGAAGGGAGUAUAAU